rnacentral:tRNA from 1 species
AUCGGAAUGUUGGAAUUGGUAGACAUAACGGACUUAAAAUCCGUUGCUCGUAGAGCGUGGCGGGUUCGAGUCCCCCCUCCGAUA